GACGUAGGGGGCGAGCGUUGUCCGGAGUUACUGGGCGUAAAGGGCGCGCAGGCGGCCAGGUGCGCCGUGCCGUGAAAGCCCCCGGCUCAACCGGGCGGAUGCGGGCGGGACGGCCUGGCUGGAGGGUGGCAGAGGCGGGCGGAAUUCCCGGUGUAGUGGUGAAAUGCGUAGAGAUCGGGAGGAACACCCGCGGCGCAGGCGGCCCGCUGGGCCACCCCUGACGCUGAGGCGCGAAGGCCAGGGGAGCGAACGGG
rnacentral:rRNA from 1 species